UUUGGCUAAACUCCCUUGAGGUGAGCUUUGCGCUUCGCCUUAAUCUGUGACACAACCAUUGUAAUGCAGAAAUUAUAGUUAUCCAUAACACAUUGUGUAAACCCAGCCAACCGCAGGCAGUCCUCAACUUACAACGGUUCAUCUUAGUGAC